GAUCCAGACUCCUACGGGAGGCAGCAGUGAGGAAUAUUGGUCAAUGGGCUUACGCCUGAACCAGCCAAGUCGCGUGAGGGAAGACUGCCCUAUGGGUUGUAAACCUCUUUUGUCAGGGAGCAAUUGGCGCUACGUGUAGCGUUAUCGAGAGUACCUGAAGAAAAAGCAUCGGCUAACUACGUGCCAGCAGCCGCGGUAAUACGUAGGUGGCAAGCGUUGUCCGGAUUUACUGGGUGUAAAGGGCGUGUAGCCGGGCCGGCAAGUCAGAUGUGAAAUCCCAAGGCUCAACCUUGGAACUGCAUUUGAAACUGUUGGUCUUGAGUAUCGGAGAGGCAGGCGGAAUUCCUAGUGUAGCGGUGAAAUGCGUAGAUAUUAGGAGGAACACCAGUGGCGAAGGCGGCCUGCUGGACGACAACUGACGGUGAGGCGCGAAAGCGUGGGGAGCAAACAGGAUUAGAUACCCUAGUAC
rnacentral:rRNA from 1 species